rnacentral:tRNA from 2 species
GGAGAGGUGGCAGAGUGGUCGAAUGCGGCGGUCUUGAAAACCGCUAUCCUGGGAGACUGGGAUCGAGGGUUCGAAUCCCUCCCUCUCCACCA